rnacentral:piRNA from 1 species
UUUUUUGUUGGUUUAAAGCAUCCUUUAAUUAC